ACGUGCACUAUCCAAACGAGGACGAGAAGUAGAUGAACAACAUUACAGCAAGUGAAGUAGCAGGACUCGGGUGGGUACAUUACUCCUAUGUUGCACCAUUGCUGCCCCAAAGAUUGACUCUUUUAUCUCUAAUUCGCAGAGAAGGUAUGAAAGAAACUAUCUUACACUUCGCUUCUGUUUCUGGGUUAUUAUCUUUGUUUCCAUAUUACAUUGAUUUGAGUUACAAGUUCUGCAAAAUAAUUGUCCGUUGACGAUGUUGACAAAAGGGUUGCCUACGAUUUUUUUUUUUUAAGAACUUUGGUUGGUGUUUUUUCUGGUGGCUAGUUUCCGUUUCUUUGAGACAAUAAGUACUAUGAACUUUGAAAAAUGCUUAUGCAUUUUGGGAAUUUAAAAUUGGACUUGGAUGCUGUUGUUCCCGUUUUCAAAGGAAAUCAAAUGGAUAAUUUAGUAUGGAUUGUUCCCUGCUUUUGGGUUAUAGGCUUCUAAAUAUUAUAAUUGGAUUUAGUUGGUCUUAUUUUCUUGUCCUUUAUGAUAUAUCCAAUUUGAUCUUUAUUUAAAUGCAAUCGUUGAAUGUGCAAUGAUUGAAGAUACUCACAAGUUAUGUGAAUUUGGCUUCUCCAUUAUCAUUUUGUGAGGGUUAAUGUCCCUUUAGAGAGUAGGCUGCACAAUUCAGUGGCACUCCUUAUUACAAACAGAGAAAACUAGAUUAUGGAUCAAAGCAUUCAGAAAAGGACAACAAAUAGGGAAGGAUAGAGAUUAGUGUUGAUUGUAAAUGCUAUAAUUUCCAGUUGCAAACUUCAUUCGUGAAAACAAAAAUGAAUCUUUAACAUAUAAUUUUUGCAGCUAGUACAUCAUGUGCCAUGUUGUUGUUGCUUUUUGAGCUAAAAGUUAUUAGAUGUUUGAGCUAUUGAAGAGGUCAUGAUCUUUGUAAGGAGAAUGGAAAUUGAAUUGAAGAUUUUAAGUCAUAUUCUUUCUGAUGGAGAAAGUGAAACACAAGUGGUUCUUUUAUGAGCUUUAUGGAGUAUAUUUCUGCACAACUCUUACUCAAAUUGGUCUUGUCCACUUUGAAUUGAUACAUGCACAACAUUUGCUAUAGCUUUAACUAGUGUAUCCAUGUUUUAGUUGAUUCAUCAAAUAGACUUUGAGUUGAAAUCAAGUUCUAGUAAGUAUUUUUAUACUUCCCAAUUCAGAAUCUUUGCAUUUAUAGCAUCAUUAACCUGGUUAUAAGUUGUUCCAAUCAGCACCAGUGUCCAUCUUAACAGUCAUGUUUGAUGACCUUUGUUAUAUACUGUUGUUAUUCUAAUAUAUCCCAUUGUUGAUUGAAUAAAGAUGAUGCUUCUUGUAGGUGACUUGUUUAGAGAAAUUUAUGUUCUUUUCAUUGGAUGAUAUUCUUUUAUUUUAUAUAAAAACAAUUUAAAGUGUUGCAGAAUUAAAAAUUAUAAGCAAGGCAAUUUCCUUGAGGUCAAUUAAAGUGCUAUAAUUAGCUCUCUCUACUUAAGAUAGGAGUAGUGGCUCUGGUUAAUAAUACAGAAGGCAGAACUGAAUUUGAUGAAAAUAUGAAUUAGAUAGGACUGGAAUAAGCUGAAGCGGGCUAAAAUUUUGGCAAUCCAAUCCACUUAUUUGUUUUCUUUUUAUUCACUUGCACAAAUUUAUAUGCAUCGUCUGCAAAAACACAAGCAUGUGAAAAAUUCAAGCCUAGAAAUUUUCAUUAUGUAGUUGUCAUUUAGAUGCUGGCAGCUUAACCUGUAUCAUUGAGCAUUUACAAAAUUUUUCCGUUGAGACUUGAGUAUCCCCUGAUUCUUUGCAAUAAAUUUCAAGCAGAUAAAUUAACACCAUUGUAGAAAGUGAGUAAUACUUGUUUAGUGCUAAUAUGAAUUGUAGUAGUCAUGUAUGAUUCAGUGUAAUUUGUGAGUUUUAGCACCUCUCCAACUCCUUGAAUCUGCAGCUCCCUGGGGAUGUGCAAGACAUGUGGCGAUUUAAGGAUGAUAGCAUGCUCAAAAUGUAAAGGAAUUGGAUCAGUCAAGGAAGGUGGGCCUUUAAGUUUUAACAUGUUGGAUGAUUUGUAUCAGUCCAUUGGUGGAGUAUCAAAGGUGAAAACCUUUAAAUGUACUAAAUGUGAAGCUAGAGGUCAUUUCUGCUGCCCUGGCUGCUCUAAAGUGCCAUCAGAUUAAUUAAUAUGUAGAUCUUGUAAACAAUUGCUCUCUUGUGCUUCUUCCAGAACUUGGUUAUAUUCAAGAUUUCCUCCUUGCAGUGAUUAUAAUUACUGGACUCUGGAUUUUAGUUGGACUAUAUAGAGAAAAGAAGUUCAUAAAUCUUCCCAUAUGAAUGAUGGAUGACUAGCAUAGUGUAAUCUGGUUCAACAAACUGAGUAAUUAUUAUUUCUUUUGAUUCCAACCAUAACUUAAUGCUGACAGAUGAUUAUGGAGAAGUACUAGUCAAUACUGUAUGUUU
rnacentral:misc_RNA from 1 species